AUGGAUGAUAAUGCCAGCCCUGACGACCUCUUUGACGAUGAGUAUUACGUGUUUGCUUGUGAAGGCUCGGACGUUGAUGAUGCAGAACAUGACGAAGGAGACUUGAGUCAGGAUACCUCUAUGGACAUUGAUCCUCUUGAGUAUGUCUACUCGAACCUCUCAGAUAGCACACACAUCCUUAAGAACGCCAUGAACUACGAGCACUGCAAGGCCAAGAAGUUUGGGUCUGAAUCCCCUAGAUUCUGCUCUCGCAAUGGGCAGAUCGAGCUGAAGGAACCAGAGCCCAUCCCAGAGCUAAUGAGGAUUUGGUCUAGCUCGGAUGCAGACUCUAGGCAUUUUCAGGAGAACAUACGGUUCUUCAACGACCACUUCUCCUUCACAACCCUCGGCAUCAGCCUCAGUGAAAACUACUCAAACAUGAAAUCAGGGGUGUACAUGUUCCGGGCGCACAACACUAUCUACCACAACGUUCAUUCCUUCGGCCCAAGCUCCCGUCCAGAGCAUCUCCAGUUGUACUUCUACGACGAUGACCCUGAUCUAACCCAUUGCAAGGCUGCCAUCAAGCAAUUGGACCAGAAUGUCGUCAGGAAGUUAGUGGACAUACUCAGGGAAAAACCAUACUCCUAG
rnacentral:rRNA from 1 species